GGCACGUGUGUGAUGUGCAUCUGGCAGCACCGAACACCCCCCGCCCUGAGCUACCCUGCGCACGAAAGACUCAAGCAACAAACGCGUUUUGAUUCGGGGAAACCGCUUUGAAAGUGCGCGAUGCUUUACACCUGAUAACCAGACGACCGACCGAAAAGCAUCCAUCCGCCCGUCCAGCCAUCCAUUGAGGGACUGCUGCCGCCACAGGACUGUGAUGUAAUCAGACUCCUAUAUACACCCCGAUCUGCCCCGAUCUGCCCCGAUCUACUCCGCGGACACCCCUCUCCGACGAUUUGUUGUGAUGGGGGUAACUCCCCCCCUACCGCCCUCUCUCGGCUCUACCGCACUGCCUGCCACCCUCCCUCCCGUUCAUUCCUGUGCGUCGUCCCUCUAGCCAAAGUUAUUUUAAUAAACUGCGCGACGUGAUGGGAAUUCUGAAAUGCGA